rnacentral:rRNA from 1 species
UACGAAGGGGGCUAGCGUUGUUCGGAAUUACUGGGCGUAAAGCGCACGUAGGCGGAUAUUUAAGUCAGGGGUGAAAUCCCAGAGCUCAACUCUGGAACUGCCUUUGAUACUGGGUAUCUUGAGUAUGGAAGAGGUGAGUGGAAUUCCGAGUGUAGAGGUGAAAUUCGUAGAUAUUCGGAGGAACACCGGUGGCGAAGGCGGCCGACCUGGACGGUCACUGACGCUGAGGCGCGAAGCUAGGGGAGCAAACGGG